GAUGAACGCUGGCGGCGUGCCUAAUACAUGCAAGUCGAGCGAACGGACGAGAAGCUUGCUUCUCUGAUGUUAGCGGCGGACGGGUGAGUAACACGUGGAUAACCUACCUAUAAGACUGGGAUAACUUCGGGAAACCGGAGCUAAUACCGGAUAAUAUUUUGAACCGCAUGGUUCAAAAGUGAAAGACGGUCUUGCUGUCACUUAUAGAUGGAUCCGCGCUGCAUUAGCUAGUUGGUAAGGUAACGGCUUACCAAGGCAACGAUGCAUAGCCGACCUGAGAGUGUGACGGCCCACACGGGACAUGAGACACGGCCAAGACACCUGCGGGGGGAAGCAGACGGGAUUCUUCCGCAGGGGGGAAAAGCCGAACGGAGCAACGCGGGGGGAGAGAUAAAGGUCCUGGUAUCUAAAAACUUUUUUAUGGGGGAAAAACAUAUGUGUAAGAAACUGUGCACAUCUUGAGGGUACCAAAUAAGAAAGCCACGGCAAACUCCGUC
rnacentral:rRNA from 1 species